rnacentral:rRNA from 1 species
UACAGAGGGUGCAAGCGUUAAUCGGAAUUACUGGGCGUAAAGCGUGCGUAGCCGGUCAUGUAAGUCGGGUGUGAAAGCCCCGGGCUCAACCUGGGAAUUGCAUUCGAGACUGCAUGGCUAGGGUGCGGAAGAGGGAAGCGGAAUUUCCGGUGUAGCGGUGAAAUGCGUAGAUAUCGGAAGGAACACCAGUGGCGAAAGCGGUUUCCUGGUCCAGCACCGACGUUCAGGCACGAAAGCGUGGGGAGCAAACAGG